GCAGUGGGCGAGGCACAUGACGUCACCGCGAGGCUCGCAGGGAGUUGUAGGCCCAGCUCGUACCAGAGCCCUAAGUACUUCGGGCCGAGCCGCCGCACAGGCACCUGGGAGUCGUAGGCGGCUCGGCCCAGAGCCUUCUGGGAGUCGUAGUCCUUGUACCCGCUUCCGCCUUUUCUCGAGCCUGGACCGUGCAGCGUGCGUUCUACUCAGGAGAAGCCUACCUCUCCUGCCCCGCUCGGACCCCGCGAUGCCAGCUCCGCAGUGCGCCACCUGCCACAAGGCGCGCGCCGCCCUCCGCCGCCCGCGCUCGGGCCGCGCGCUGUGCGGCGCCUGCUUCUGCGCCGCCUUCGAGGCCGAGGUGCUGCACACGGUGGUCGCGGGCCGCCUGCUGCCGUCCGGGGCCGUGGUGGCCGUGGGCGCCUCGGGCGGCAAGGACUCCACGGUGCUGGCGCACGUGCUGCAGGUGCUGGCGCCGCGCCUGGGCAUCUCGCUGCGCCUGGUGGCCGUGGACGAGGGCAUCGGCGGCUACCGGGACGCGGCGCUGGCGGCCGUGCGGCGCCAGGCGGCGCGCUGGGAGCUCCCGCUCACCGUCGUGGCCUACGCAGACCUCUUCGGGGGCUGGACGAUGGACGCCGUAGCCCGUAGCACGGCCGGCUCCGGCCGCAGCCGCGCCUGCUGCACCUUCUGCGGGGUGCUGCGGCGCCGGGCGCUGGAGGAGGGGGCGCGCCUCGUGGGAGCCACGCACAUCGUGACGGGCCACAACGCCGACGACAUGGCGGAGACCGUGCUCAUGAACUUCCUGCGGGGCGACGCGGCGCGGCUGGCCCGGGGCGGGGGCCUGGGCUCGCCGGGCGAGGGGGGCGCCCUGCCGCGCUGCCGCCCGCUGCAGCUGGCCUCGCAGAAGGAGGUGGUGCUGUACGCGCACUUCCGCCGCCUCGACUACUUCUCCGAGGAGUGCGUCUACGCGCCCGAGGCCUUCCGCGGCCACGCGCGCCACCUGCUCAAGCUGCUGGAGGCGGCGCGGCCGUCGGCGGUGCUGGACCUCGUGCACUCGGCCGAGCGCCUGGCACUGGCCCCGGCCGCGCGGCCCCCGGCCCCCGGCGCCUGCUCCCGCUGCGGGGCGCUGGCCAGCCGCGCGCUCUGCCAGGCCUGCGCGCUCCUGGACGGCCUCAACCGCGGCCGGCCGCGCCUGGCCAUCGGCAAGGGCCGCCGGGGGCUGGACGAGGCGGGGCCGCCGCGGGACGGGGAGCCGGAGCGGGCCCCUGCCCCGGACGCCGUGCCUGCCUUCUAGGGACUCGGGUUCUCGGCCGGGAUGCGCCGCCCCGGAGCGCGGGGCUGCCUGUGAAUGACACUGGCUGCGCAUCCUGCGGGCGCUGCGCCGUCUUAUUUCAUCGCACCGUGAUCUCUUUGGUUGUAGCCUGAGACCCCGGUAAUUGGCCUGAGUCACCUAGCUGGAGAGGGACCGAACUGGGGUCUCACACCCAGGUCUGCCUGUGUCUUCAAGACUCUGGAAUCGUGUCCCAGCCUCACCUGAAUCUCCUCCAGUGUCUCUGUGUGAUGGGUGAGGGGCAGCUGGGUGGGCUCCCCACACCUCAGAUUCUGGAGGCGGAGCUAGGUGAGUCUGGGUCGGUGACUAAGCUCUCUGGUCUUCCGUUUCCUCCUCUGAAAAUGGAAUCAAAGCCCCCCAUCAAAGCAGUCUCUUGAGGAUUUGAUAACGCGCUCAAUAAAUGGUGGCCGACUGGGUUGUCAUGCUAAGGUUUGGCCACCAGGGGGCUCUGGGUUUCAGAGUUGCUGUCCUGCCAGUCCAGACAGGUGUAGGGCCCAGAAGCUUCUAGCUUGACCCCUGGGGAAACUUGUCUUCUCAGUCCCACCUCCAAGCUUUGCUGGGCUGGUGGCUUGUCAGGAAUGCCCUGCGGUCCCAUCUUCCUGCUCAAAUCCUCCAGGGUCCUCCUAGAAGCCUCACUGAUUCUCUCCACCCACUCCACCUAUCCCAGGACAAAGGACUCUCCCAAACCCCAGCCCUGGGUCAUGCCCUCCUGUGUGGCCAUCCACACUCUUCUGGGCCGUGUUCUCCCUAAUAGGACUGAGCUUUGAGGCCAGAGACCAGAUCUCCCUCCCUACCAGAUAACACAGCAUCACUCAUUCAUUUAUUGAGCCCCUAAUGUGUGCAGGGCCUUUCCAGACAUUGGUGGGGGGAAAAAAAAGACAAAACCUCUCAUUCAUGGAGCGUACAGUCUUCUGGGAGAGAGGCAGUAGAUGAGGAAAUAUAUAAUAUGAGGUCUGAUGAUGAGUGCUGUAAAUAAAGCAACCUAAGGGGAAA